AAAUAUUGUGAGAUUCCAAAGUGUCCUAUGUAUUUUGUCAUAGGGUAUGAUUCAAGGUUACAUGUACAUGUAUAUUUGUUUGAUGGGUAUGUCAUAUAAGCAUGGCCACAGUAGAUUAUGAAUGACGGCACUGUGCAUGUUUAUGUACGUAAUCAGUAUGUCCAUAAUAAUGAUUAUUAGAAAUAUUGAAAGAAACUAAAGG